rnacentral:piRNA from 1 species
UAAACAAUGGAAAAGGCAGGGACCUGGAUC